CUAGGGGUGCCAGAAGUAGUUAUGGGAUUGGUUUAGGACCUGUUUAUGGUUGUGUAACCCUCCUAGU
rnacentral:tRNA from 1 species